rnacentral:rRNA from 1 species
GACAGAGGUGCCGAGCGUUAGGCGGAAUCACUGGGCUUAAAGCGUGUGUAGGCGGAUCGUUAAGUACCUUGUGAAAUCCCACGGCUCACCCGUGGAACUGCUGGGUAUACUGGCGAUCUUGGGCCAACUAGGGGCAGCUGGAACAAGCGGUGGAGCGGUGAAAUGCGUAGAUAUCGCUUGGAACGCCGAAGGUGAAAACAGGCUGCUGGGGUUGUGCCGACGCUGAGACACGAAAGCCAGGGGAGCAAACGGG